CGAAUGCUGACAUAAGUAACGAUAAAGCGGGUGAAAAGCCCGCUCGCCGGAAGACCAAGGGUUCCUGUCCAACGUUAAUCGGGGCAGGGUGAGUCGACCCCUAAGGCGAGGCCGAAAGGCGUAGUCGAUGGGAAACAGGUUAAUAUUCCUGUACUUGGUGUUACUGCGAAGGGGGGACGGAGAAGGCUAUGUUGGCCGGGCGACGGUUGUCCCGGUUUAAGCGUGUAGGCUGGUUUUCCAGGCAAAUCCGGAAAAUCAAGGCUGAGGCGUGAUGACGAGGCACUACGGUGCUGAAGCAACAAAUGCCCUGCUUCCAGGAAAAGCCUCUAAGCAUCAGGUAACAUCAAAUCGUACCCCAAACCGACACAGGUGGUCAGGUAGAGAAUACCAAGGCGCUUGAGAGAACUCGGGUGAAGGAACUAGGCAAAAUGGUGCCGUAACUUCGGGAGAAGGCACGCUGAUAUGUAGGUGAAGCGACUUGCUCGUGGAGCUGAAAUCAGUCGAAGAUACCAGCUGGCUGCAACUGUUUAUUAAAAACACAGCACUGUGCAAACACGAAAGUGGACGUAUACGGUGUGACGCCUGCCCGGUGCCGGAAGGUUAAUUGAUGGGGUUAGCGGUAACGCGAAGCUCUUGAUCGAAGCCCCGGUAAACGGCGGCCGUAACUAUAACGGUCCUAAGGUAGCGAAAUUCCUUGUCGGGUAAGUUCCGACCUGCACGAAUGGCGUAAUGAUGGCCAGGCUGUCUCCACCCGAGACUCAGUGAAAUUGAACUCGCUGUGAAGAUGCAGUGUACCCGCGGCAAGACGGAAAGACCCCGUGAACCUUUACUAUAGCUUGACACUGAACAUUGAGCCUUGAUGUGUAGGAUAGGUGGGAGGCUUUGAAGUGUGGACGCCAGUCUGCAUGGAGCCGACCUUGAAAUACCACCCUUUAAUGUUUGAUGUUCUAACGUUGGCCCCUAAUCGGGGUUGCGGACAGUGUCUGGUGGGUAGUUUGACUGGGGCGGUCUCCUCCUAAAGAGUAACGGAGGAGCACGAAGGUUGGCUAAUCCUGGUCGGACAUCAGGAGGUUAGUGCAAUGGCAUAAGCCAGCUUGACUGCGAGCGUGACGGCGCGAGCAGGUGCGAAAGCAGGUCAUAGUGAUCCGGUGGUUCUGAAUGGAAGGGCCAUCGCUCAACGGAUAAAAGGUACUCCGGGGAUAACAGGCUGAUACCGCCCAAGAGUUCAUAUCGACGGCGGUGUUUGGCACCUCGAUGUCGGCUCAUCACAUCCUGGGGCUGAAGUAGGUCCCAAGGGUAUGGCUGUUCGCCAUUUAAAGUGGUACGCGAGCUGGGUUUAGAACGUCGUGAGACAGUUCGGUCCCUAUCUGCCGUGGGCGCUGGAGAACUGAGGGGGGCUGCUCCUAGUACGAGAGGACCGGAGUGGACGCAUCACUGGUGUUCGGGUUGUCAUGCCAAUGGCACUGCCCGGUAGCUAAAUGCGGAAGAGAUAAGUGCUGAAAGCAUCUAAGCACGAAACUUGCCCCGAGAUGAGUUCUCCCUGACUCCCUGAGAGUC
rnacentral:rRNA from 1 species